ACCCUGGACGGGGGAUCACUCGGCUCGACCGUCGAUGAAGAGCGCGGCCAGCCGCGAGAACUGAUGCGGAUUGCAGGACUCAGUGAACAUCGACACCUCGAACGCACAUUUCGGCCUCA
rnacentral:rRNA from 1 species